rnacentral:ncRNA from 1 species
UCUCUUGACUGAGUGUCGGCGGCGGCCUGGACGUUUACUUUGAAAAAAUUAGAGUGUUCAAAGCAGGCUCUCGAGCCUGGAUAAUGGUGCAUGGAAUAAUGGAAUAGGACCUCGGUUCUAUUUUGUUGGUUUUCGGAGCGCGAGGUAAUGAUUAAGAGGGACAGACGGGGGCAUUCGUACUGUGCCGUUAGAGGUGAAAUUCUUGGAUCGGCGCAAGACGAACGACUGCGAAAGCAUUUGCCAAGAAUGUUUUCUUUAAUCAAGAGCGAAAGUCAGAGGUUCGAAGACGAUCAGAUACCGUCCUAGUUCUGACUAUAAACGAUGCCAACUAGCGAUCGGGGGGCGUUACAUUGACGACCCCUCCGGCAGCUUACGGGAAACCAAAGUCUUUGGGUUCCGGGGGAAGUAUGGUUGCAAAGCUGAAACUUAAAGGAAUUGACGGAAGGGCACCACCAGGAGUGGAGCCUGCGGCUUAAUUUGACUCAACACGGGAAAUCUCACCCGGCCCGGACACAGUGAGGAUUGACAGAUUGAGAGCUCUUUCUUGAUUCUGUGGGUGGUGGUGCAUGGCCGUUCUUAGUUGGUGGAGCGAUUUGUCUGGUUAAUUCCGAUAACGAACGAGACUCUGGCUUGCUAAAUAGUUACGCGACCAUCCCGGUCGGCGUUUAACUUCUUAGAGGGACAAGUGGCGUUUAGCCACACGAGAUUGAGCGAUAACAGGUCUGUGAUGCCCUUAGAUGUUCGGGGCCGCACGCGCGCUACACUGACCGGAUC